UACAGAGGGUGCGAGCGUUGUUCGGAAUUAUUGGGCGUAAAGCGCUUGUAGGCGGCACGUCAAGUCGCGUGUGAAAUCCCGAGGCUCAACCUCGGAACUGCCUUUGAUACUGGGAAUCUGGAGUCCGGGAGAGGUGAGCGGAACUGCGAGUGUAGAGGUGAAAUUCGUAGAUAUUCGCAAGAACACCAGUGGCGAAGGCGGCUCACUGGCCCGGAACUGACGCUGAGGUGCGAAAGCGUGGGGAGCAAACAGG
rnacentral:rRNA from 1 species